rnacentral:rRNA from 1 species
AUUGAACGCUGGCGGCAGGCCUAACACAUGCAAGUCGAGCGAGCGGCGGACGGGUGAGUAAUGUCUGGGAAUCUGCCUGAUGGAGGGGGAUAACUACUGGAAACGGUAGCUAAUACCGCAUACUAUCAGAUGUGCCCAUAUGGGAUUAGCUAGUAGGUGGGGUAAUGGCUCACCUAGGCGACGAUCCCUAGCUGGUCUGAGAGGAUGACCAGCCACACUGGAACUGAGACACGGUCCAGACUCCUACGGGAGGCAGCAGUGGGGAAUAUUGCACAAUGGGCGCAAGCCUGAUGCAGCCAUGCCGCGGGUGUGAAGAAGGCCUUAGGGUUGUAAAGCACUUUCAGCGGGGAGGCGUUACCCGCAGAAGAAGCACCGGCUAACUCCGUGCCAGCAGCCGCGGUAAUAC